CCCUAGGACCUCUUGGUGGUUCUAUAAUUUUUCCAAUAUGUGAAUAAUUUCCUGUUAGAGAAGAGAAGAUAUUUUCCUGUUGGAUUUUGGUGAGCCUGGACACCUCAAACCAAGAGGAAAGAAUAAAACAAAUAGUGAAAGAAGUAAAGCCACCCAGUGUUCAGUCCAUUAUGACUUUUGGAGGAGCUUUGUGAAAUACUUCUCAGACCUUUCCAUUCAAGGAAAAAAUGGUUUGAUUUCUUCCCAAAUGCAUAAAUCCACUAGUUUGAAAUUCCUUGUCCUUCUGUGUGCAUAUGUAUAAGAUUGGAGGAGGUUUCCAUGGGUAUUCUAUGUAAAGGCUUCAGAAAAGCCCUGGGGUAGGAAGUAAGGAGAUAGCAUGUUGCUAAAACUUCCAUGGAUUGAGUCAAUGCAGUACUGGCUAAAGCUCAAGCCAUAAACCACGGAAUACAUGCAGCCUCUAGAAGCUGGAAGGAAAUGGAUUAUCCCGUAGAGCCUCCAGAAAGGAAUGCAACCCUGACAGCAAGAUCUGUCCAGACUCAACUUCCAAAACGAUGAAGUCAGAAGUGUGAUCUGAAAUAGAGCUUCUAGCGACCUGCAGGAGCAUUGAGUGACCAAGUGGGAUGCCUGGAGUGUAUUGUAUCCAUUGCGCUCUCACAGCCGCUGGGAAUCGUGGCAAGUUCUCUCUGGGAUACUGAAGCUCGACAGAUUUGUGUUUUGAACUAUCCAAGUUUAUUUGAACGAAAUUUUUGAUCCAAACUUUCUUCAGAAGUCUCAACAGAAAAUGAACUGGGUCCAGAAUUAGAUUCAAUCUGUAAACUAAAAAUAAAAUUCUAAGGCCCCCAACCAACUGAAUGGACCCCUUCUCUCAGCCAAGGGCAUUUUAAAGUUAACCUGAAAAACUAGUUCAGGCCAUGAUGGAAACAGAGGUUCCAUAUACCUCAUUAUACUUUCCUCCCUUUGGAAUUCAGGCACAACUGACCAGCGUUAACAUUAAAACAAAGAUCUA
rnacentral:lncRNA from 1 species